UACGGAGGGGGCUAGCGUUGUCCGGAAUUACUGGGCGUAAAGCGCGCGUAGGCGGCCUUGUAAGUUAGAGGUGAAAGCCCGGGGCUCAACCCCGGAAUUGCCUUUAAGACUGCAUCGCUUGAAUCCGGGAGAGGUGAGUGGAAUUCCGAGUGUAGAGGUGAAAUUCGUAGAUAUUCGGAAGAACACCAGUGGCGAAGGCGGCUCACUGGACCGGCAUUGACGCUGAGGUGCGAAAGCGUGGGGAGCAAACAGG
rnacentral:rRNA from 1 species